GGUUGUGUGGUGUAAUGGUAGCACUUAUCCUUGUGGCGGAUACAAUAGCGGUUCGAUUCCGUUCACAGCCA